GCCUGGAUAGCUCAGAUGGUUAGAGCAUAGCGUUGAUAAUGGCAAGGUUGCAGAUUCGAUCCCUGUAUGGGACA